rnacentral:rRNA from 1 species
AGAGUUUGAUCCUGGCUCAGAAUGAACGCUGGCGGCAUGGAUUAGGCAUGCAAGUCGUACGAGAAUCCUCUCUUCGGAGAGGAGGACAGUGGCGAAAGGGUGAGUAACACGUGAGUAUCUACCUCCAGGUCGGGAACAGCCCGCGGAAACGCGGAUUAAUGCCCGAUGGUCCCUUCGGGGUAAAGAGGAAUCGCCCGGAGACGAGCUCGCGGCCCAUCAGCUUGUUGGCGGGGUAACGGCCCACCAAGGCGACGACGGGUAGGUGGUCUGAGAGGAUGGUCACCCACACUGGGACUGAGAUACUGCCCAGACUCCUACGGGAGGCUGCAGUCGAGAAUCAUCCGCAAUGGGCGAAAGCCUGACGGUGCAAUGCCGCGUGGGGGAUGAAGGCCUUCGGGUCGUAAACCCCUGUCAGAGGGGACGAAAAACAUGACGGUACCCUCAGAGGAAGCCACGGCUAACUACGUGCCAGCAGCCGCGGUAAUACGUAGGUGGCGAGCGUUAUUCGGAUUUACUGGGCGUAAAGGGUCCGCAGGGGGUUUGCCGAGUCCGAUGUGAAAGUCCGCAGCUCAACUGCGGAACUGCGUCGGAUACUGGUGAACUUGAGUGCGCGAAGGGCGAGCGGAAUUCCAGGUGUAGCGGUGGAAUGCGUAGAUAUCUGGAAGAACACCGGCGGCGAAAGCGGCUCGCUGGCGCGCCACUGACCCUCAUGGACGAAAGCGUGGGGAGCGAACAGGAUUAGAUACCCUGGUAGUCCACGCUGUAAACGGUGCAGACUCGAUGCGG